GACAGAGGCCCCGAGCGUUAGGCGGAAUCACUGGGCUUAAAGCGUGUGUAGGCGGACCGUUAAGUACCUUGUGAAAUCCCACGGCUCAACCGUGGAACGGCUGGGUAUACUGGCGGUCUUGGGCCACUCAGGGGCGAGCGGAACAAGUGGUGGAGCGGUGAAAAUGCGGUAGAUAUCACUUGGGAACGCCGACGGGUGAAAACAGCUCGCUGGGGAGUGUGCCGACGCUGAGACACGAAGCCAGGGGAGCGAACGGG
rnacentral:rRNA from 1 species